AUUGCACGCUGGCGGCAGGCCUAACACAUGCACGUCGAACGAGUGGCGGACGGGUGAGUAAUGUCUGGGAAACUGCCUGAUGGAGGGGGAUAACUACUGGAAACGGUAGCUAAUACCGCCUACCCUCGGAUGUGCCCAGAUGGGAUUAGCGAGUAGGUGGGGUACAGGCUCACCUAGGCGACGAUCCCUAGCUGGUCUGAGAGGAUGACCAGCAACACUGGAACUGAUACACGGUCCCGACCCCUACGUGAGGGAGCAGUGGGGAAUAUUGCACAAUGGGCGCAAGCCUGAUGCAGCCAUGCCGGGUGGAUGAAGAAGGCCUUCGGGUUGGAAAGUAAUUUCAGCGGGGAGGCGUUACCCGCAGAAGAAGCACCGGCUAACUCCGUGGCAGCAGCCGCGGUAAUAC
rnacentral:rRNA from 1 species